rnacentral:sRNA from 1 species
GCCGUCGCCGCAGCAGCCAUGGCCGAGCGCCGCGCCUUCGCCCAGAAGAUCAGCAGGUUCAAAGUGGGCUUGUGCGUCCAGGAUUGAAAACGUGUGGACAGAAUGAAAAGUUGAGAGCUGCG